AUUGAGUUGGUGAACAUCUUUCAUUAAUCCAGCAAUCUGCUCCUCCUGUUGUUAGACACACAAAUGGCAGUGUUAAGGUUUGAUCCAAGGGCCUUUCGUUGGGCUCUCACUAUGAAGCUUGCAGUGGAACAGAUAAACAACAGAAACGACCUUCUGCCAAAUCAUACGUUGUCUUACCAGAUAUUUGACUCCUGCUCCACUCCUGUGACAGCCGUAGAAGACGGCACCAAUGAUAAACUACUUCUCAACUUGCUCUUGCCUAAGUGAUCGCAAGCAAUUUCCAACAUUUUUCCGAGUGGUUCCCAAUGAUGAUUACCAGGUCAAAGCAAUCACACAACUUUUAAAGAAGUUUGGCUGGACAUGGAUUGGUGUGGUCACUGAAGAUCAUGACUAUGGCAGGUUUGCUUUGCAGGGCUUAAAGCAAGAGAUUGAAAACACUGACAUUUGUUUGGCCU